rnacentral:tRNA from 2 species
GGAUGGGUGACAGAGUGGUCGAUUGUGCACGCCUGGAAAGCGUGUGUGCCGAAAGGCACCGAGGGUUCGAAUCCCUCCCCAUCCGCCA